AUUUAUUUAUGGUGAAACAGUGGUGGAAUAUCGCUGUUGCUUUCGUAUGAAUGAAGCGGACAUACCUGCGUGGCCGCGAUCUAAUCCUGUUUACGCUUACGGCUCUGUUGCUAUGACAGCAAGUCCCGGAUGAGCUUCGGGGAACCGAACGAUCCAAGAUCAGGCGAAAUCGUCAACAAUCAAAUCCAGCUAACUUACUUAGCGAGGUACGAAGAACAGGCCCCUGCUCUACUUUAAUCCUCAAUCUGAAAGACUUGAGAUGCUAAAAUGUAAAUAAAAAGAUGACUUUUUUUCAAAUCUCACAAACCCUUAUUUUAUUAUUAUAACAGAAACCGCAUUGGACAUGUUAGCAUUGUGAUCUGAGAAAAUGAAGCAUUUUAAGAAGAAGAAUGCCUCCUUUUGAAUUUAAUGGCAGCAAUAUUAUCUCAAUCGUUUGGUUAGCUUACCGCUGUGUAGCAUCCCUUUUUUAUUCUGCAUGUCUGGAAACAUGUUGAAGACCAGCUGCUGGGCUUUUUGCCUCGGUGAGAGAAGAUGGUGGUGUUUCUGGAUCAUUUUUACACAUGACUCCUUUGCAUGACAGAGCUUUAACCUGCAUUUGUGGGUGGAAUCACUGAACACUGAAGCCCUGAGCCCACGCAGAGAUUUCCCUGAUGGAGUCAGGCCUGUUUUUAAUGAAUUGUUGUCUGUGGGCCAGAAGAGCAGACAUCCAAUAUUGGUUUUUGACCUUGUUCCUUUUGAUAUUAUGUUCUGUAGACGAUAUUCAGUCUUUAAAAUUUUAGACUGAGGAAUUUUAUUCUAAAAUUAUUCCACAAUUUGUACACAUUUUGGUGAACGUCCCUGCCAUCUUUACUUCUGAGAAGCUUUGGACUUUUUUUUUUUUUUAACCGUUUAAGAGAAGCAAUCAUGUUACUUACAUGUUCCCAAAGAAAUUUUUGAACAGACAAAACACUUACCAGCCUUUUGUUGCCACUGUCUCCAAAUUCAUUUGUUUUGAAGUACUAAUACCUCAAACUCAAAGUGAGCUUAUAUUUCGCUUAAAAUGGGAAAUUUUUCUCAGUUUAAACAUUAAAUAUUUUCCACAUUGUUGUAAAUAAAAUAUGGGUUCAAACUUUGCAGAUGGAUGCCUUGUUUGUAUUUAUUUUUCCACGAUGUUCCUCCUUUUGUUUGGAUUGUAAACUUCAUGCCUCACUUGGGUUAAUUUUUAUCAUUUACUACAAAACGUUCCUCCUUUUUCUGCCAUGUGUGAUGUUUAACCAGAGGACUGGUCUUGAGUCCUCCCCCAGUAGACUCCAAAUCCAAAUAGAGUCAGAGAGGGUUUAACAGAGCAC
ensembl:lncRNA